rnacentral:rRNA from 1 species
UACAGGGGGUGCAAACGUUGCUCGGAAUUAUUGGGCGUAAAGCGCGCGUAGGCGGCUAUCUAAGUAGGAUGUGAAAGCCCCUGGCUUAACUGGGGAAGUGCACCCGAAACUGGGUAGCUAGAGUGCAAAAGAGGGUCGCGGAAUUCCCGGUGUAGAGGUGAAAUUCGUAGAUAUCGGGAGGAACACCGGUGGCGAAGGCGGCGACCUGGGUUGACACUGACGCUGAGGCGCGAAAGCCAGGGGAGCGAACGGG